CCUAUGGGGGGCAGCAGUUAGGAAUCUUCUGCAAUGCGCGCAAGCGUGACAGAUUGAGUCAGAGUGCUUUUCAUAUGAAAAGCUUUUGCCAAAUGUAAAAAGUUUGGCGAAUAAGGACUGGGUAAGACGGGUGCCAGCCGCCGCGGUAAUACCCGCGGUCCAAGUCGCAGCCAUUAUUAUUGGGUCUAAAACAUCCGUAGCUUGCUUAGUAAGUUUCUUGUGAAAUUCCAUGUCUUAAAUAUGGAGCGGGCAAGAAGUACUGUUAAGCUAGAGACUGGAAGACGUAAGAAGUACGUUUGGAGUAGCGGUAAAAUGUGUUAAUCCCAGACGGACUAACAACAGCGAAGGCAUCUUACGAGGACAGUUCUGACAGUAAGGGAUGAAGGCUAGGGGCGCGAAAGGGAUUAGAUACCCCCGUAGUCC
rnacentral:rRNA from 1 species